CCGCCGGCGACCGGCGCACGGGUGAGUAACACGUAUGCAACCUGGCCGUGACAGAUGGAUAACCGGGAGAAAUCCCGCCUAAUACAGCAUGACGCCGGGAAGGGACAUCCCUUUCCGGCCAAAGGGGGCGACCCCGGUCACGGAUGGGCAUGCGGCGCAUUAGGUAGUUGGUGGGGCAACGGCCCACCAAGCCGACGAUGCGUAGGGGUUCUGAGAGGAAGGUCCCCCACAUUGGAACUGAGACACGGUCCAAACUCCUACGGGAGGCAGCAG
rnacentral:rRNA from 1 species